CGUUGCUUCGGCGGGAACAGACGGCCCCGUAACACGGGCCGCCCCCGCCAGAGGACCCCCUAACUCUGUUUCUAUUAUGUUUCUUCUGAGUAAAACAAGCAAAUAAAUUAAAACUUUCAACAACGGAUCUCUUGGCUCUGGCAUCGAUGAAGAACGCAGCGAAAUGCGAUAAGUAAUGUGAAUUGCAGAAUUCAGUGAAUCAUCGAAUCUUUGAACGCACAUUGCGCCCGCCAGUAUUCUGGCGGGCAUGCCUGUUCGAGCGUCAUUACAACCCUCAGGCCCCCGGGCCUGGCGUUGGGGAUCGGCGAGGCGCCCCCUGCGGGCACACGCCGUCCCCCAAAUACAGUGGCGGUCCCGCCGCAGCUUCCAUUGCGUAGUAGCUAACACCUCGCAACUGGAGAGCGGCGCGGCCACGCCGUAAAACACCCAACUUCUGAA
rnacentral:rRNA from 1 species